CCAGGCCCCAGCUUGCACCCCGGGCUGCACUCCCAUAUCCAGGAACCACCUCUUUUUACAGCAGGAAGAGGGCAACCAGAGAGGGCGAGAGGGCCGCCCACGGUCACCCACAAGCUUAGGAACAAAGUUGGCAGCAUGAGGAGUCUGGGUUCGAAUCCUAGCACAGCCGGUCGGAUCGCUAGCAGUUAAAACCUCAGGGCCCCCAGUGAAGAAACGGGCUCCAGGCGGUGAGGGGCACACAGGACGACUGACGCCCAGCCCACCACCCUGCAGUGGGGGCCUCCUUGGUGUUGAC
ensembl:lncRNA